GGCGGACGGGUGGAGUAACGCGUAAGAACUUGCCCUUUAGACUGGGAGUAACAGAGGGAAACUUCUGAUAAUACUGGAUAAGUUAGUAUAUCGCAUGAUAUGCAAAUGAAAGCUACGGCACUAAAGGAGAGCUUUGCGUCCUAUUAGCUAGUUGGUAAGGUAAGAGCUUACCAAGGCGAUGAUAGGUAGCCGGCCUGAGAGGGUGGACGGCCACAAGGGGACUGAGAUACGGCCCUUACUCCUACGGGAGGCAGCAGGC
rnacentral:rRNA from 1 species